rnacentral:tRNA from 1 species
GGAGGGAUAGCUCUGUGGCACAGUGCAUGCUUAGUAUGCACGAGGUUCUGGGUUCAACCCCCAGUACCUCCA